rnacentral:rRNA from 1 species
UGCGUAGGCGGGUUGGCAGGUCGGAUGUGAAAACCCCACGGCUUAACCGGGGGCUUGCAUUCGAAACCGCCAAUCUUGAGUACGGGAGAGGAAAGCGGAAUUCCUGGUGUAGCGGUGAAAUGCGUAGAUAUCAGGAGGAACACCGGUGGCGAAGGCGGCUUUCUGGCCCGAUACUGACGCUCAGGCACGAAGGCUAGGGGAGCAAACA